rnacentral:lncRNA from 1 species
UCGUACAACCCAAGCCUGUAACACCAUCAUAUCUCCGCCGUUCGCUGCUGGCCGUAAACCGCCUCCGCUAGCGGCGAAGCUCCAAAUCACUCCAAAUUUACAUCCCAUGCUCCUCUCUUCCUCCUCUUUCUAUAUCCAUGUCCAGUUUCUCACGAAUCCCAUCCAAUCGCCUCAAAUAUCGAAUCUAAACUUUCCCGGCCAUGACAACACCUCGUCCAAAUGACACCAAAUUCACACCAAGUGUUCACCUCCCUCCCCACGUCACGAAUCCACACUCCUUUUACUUUGAAUCACCCUACAUCCGUUCGAAUUUUGAAUCAAACUCGGACUCCAAAACCCUAGCUGCAUGAGUCAUGGGUUUUUCAGAGGGCUUGAUCAUAUAGCAUUUAGUUGUGUAUUUUCUCAUGAAAAUAUAUGAUUAAAUGCUCAUUUGGUCACGGGUUUAUCAGAUUUUUUGCCCAGCUGAAGUCUCAGAACUUGUAAACUUCCCCGGUUAUUUUUCUGUUAUUUUUAUUAUCUGUUCCUUAGUAUUUUCUUAUUAAGUUUUCUGCUGCCGAGUCUGAUUUUUGUUCUUAUCCAAGUUUCGAUUUUGAAUUCAGUGAUUCAAUGGGGGAUAAUUUGUUAUUUGAAUGAUGGUUGAUAGAUUCGAACUGUUAAGACUAAUAUAUGUUAGUGUUUGAAGGGUUCGAUUUUGCAAAGGUACUGUUUGACUGAUGCCAGGUUGAUUGGAUUUGAUUUUCUUUCUGUUUCUCAUAAAUAAUGGCUAAUCCAGAUAGUCCAUUUUGUGUUUGCGUUAGAUGUUUAAUGAUGUAAUGAGGUUACAGUUACAUUAUAGAAUUGAAGCUAAUUUUGACUUUUAUUUGGUGAUUUCCAUUCUUCUAGUGCAAUACUUGGAUCCUGAAAUUCCAGGUGUUCAUUAGUUCGAUUUCGAGCAAUUUUGGGUAUGUCUGAACUGGUUUUGGAUAAAUUUUGGUUGCUGAAGUUCAGAGGUUCAUUUCGAGUGAUUUUGAGUCAAAUUAAGUUGGUUUUCUUGUUGAAAUUUUGCACUGUUGAAAUUUCAGAAGUGUUCCUAGUUGAUUUCGAAUAGUUUUUAGGUUCAAUCAUUUUGUUUUGGGUGUUUGUUGCUGCUGUUGGGUUACAAUUCAUUCCCGGAUGAGUUUGAAUGUGUUUGAGACAUUGAGUUAUUCUAGUUGGUUUCAAGUUAAAAGUGACUUGUUCAAAAUCUGUUAUGGGCCAUAUUACUGAUAUUUUUGAUCUGCUGUUUCUCACUGCUGCUGAUUUCCCCUUUCUUCUACUCCUUUUCAAUUCCAGGUACACUACGAGACUUGGUUGAUGUGGCAUCUGUAGUUGAAAACAUGAAAUGAAAUAGAAGCCCCAAAAUUCUGAUAUUGCCUUGUUAUUCUGCAUGUUUAGAUGAUUUUUGUGAUUUGGUCAGUAGUAUAUUGUUGCUCCUGUAGGCAUAAAUGGAAUUGAAAAACUGGACCAUAUAGGUCGUAGUUUGAACCAUUUCGGAUUGUUUUAAUUCAUGGUUACUUAGCCGUGUAUAAUUAACACAUUUAAGUUUAGCAUUUUCCUAUUAAAAUUUGACAAUUAGAAGCAGUUUGGAAGUUCAUAUCCAGUUUGAUUUUGAGCUGAACAUGUAUCCCAAAGCAAUAUUUCGUACUGAACUAGUUAAUACCAACAGAUUAGUAAUUAAUACUAGUAAUUUUCUUAAAACGACUGUGUACCAUCAGCUCGUUAGUUAAACUGGUUGACUGUGCGUAACUGUAUGUAAAUGAGUUGUUAAUUUGAACAAGUAUACGUUGGUGUAUUUCAUUUCUAUUUGGUAAACACUUAACUUUGAUGUAAAAAUAAUUGUUGGCUUGCCUUCCCAGAGAUUCGAUCCUUCGAUCUCUUAGGCCUGGCCUAUUUCCACUUUGGGCCACUGAAAUUACAUGGCUGGCAUGCACGCGUUGUAUGGCUUCGGCUCUUUUGGGCCCAAGGCUGAUAUGGAAAUUGGCGUUCAUAUUUAAUGGCGGACUAGGUUUUUUAAAUUUGGUAUAGAUUCUAAUUAAAAUGUUCUUCCUCUUGUUUGGAUCCAGAGGCGAGAUUUUACAAUAAUAAUUAGUUAGGAUCUUUAUUUUUUUAUUUUUUUGUAGAAACAAACAAAAAAUAGAAAAUCAUAGUUUGCUUUUAGAUUUGCCUUUAAAAAUGAAAUGGGACGAGCCUCGCCGAACAAAACAAAUAAAUUGUGGGGCCCUCGACAAAUGUUAUACUAAAAAUACUUAGACUUCGGGAUGGGCCGUUUAGCGAAUUUUGUGGACUUCCCCAAAAAUAAUAAUGCAUUAGUCUCUUUAGGCGUACUUUUAAUAAUAUUACAUUCCUAAACAUGUGUGCACAUUUAUGUGACCCAAAUCCAAAUCUUAACGAAGUCGAAAUGUGUCAACAAUCACGGGUGCAUUGAUGUGGCAUGGUUUGAGGCGCGUUUUCACGACGUUGCAAUUCUUGUUAAAAAUAAAUAAUAAUAAAAGCGGUUCAAAAAUAAAAAAAGCACAUAAGCUAGAACAUUUCUCAAAAUCAGAUAAAAUCAAAUACAACAGUUGAGCGACCGUGCUAGAACCACAGAACAUGUGAAUGCCUAAUACCUUCUCCUGGGUUAACAGAAUUCCUUACUCGGAUUUCUGGUUCGUGGACUUUUAACAGUGUCAUAUUUUUCCUCGGUUCAGGAUUCAACCAGUGACUUGGGACACCGUUAAUCUUCCAAGUGGCAACUCUGAAAUCUUAAUAAUAAAUUCCGUUCCGAUUUUCCUUUAAUUGGAAAAACUCCUUUAUGCCCUCUUUCUGGUGUUUAGGUAAAAAGGAGGUGUGACAGCUCUGGUGACUCUGCUGAGGAAAAGAACCCAGAACGUUUUGUUUAGGGUUUAGAAUUCGAGCUUAGAUAAAUUGUUGUAUUUGGUUAUAUCUGGUUUUCCUACAUGUCUUGUGCUAUAUGUUUACCAUUUUGGUAUUAUCCGAACUGUAUAAAAACUGUGCCGACACCCUUAUCUUCUCACCUCCGCGGAUGUGCUUACUGGUUGAGACUCCAUUCUAUGUUAGUGUCAUACACGAAAAUAUGAAAGAUGCCGGACAAGUUACGAAGCUAGAUGGCCUUUUGGUUCCCGAUAAGUUUUCCCCUCCUCGACUAGAGUUGUCCGCUCGGGUACACAGUCUAGAACACAUACCCAGGUUUUGAACCUAGACUAACAUGAUUUCAUGCUGGAUCACUAGUAGGAACGCUUAGUUGCAUCAUGUUGCAUUUGACUUAGGGGACUCAACACAGGGGUUGGGUCCGUCUAGGACUAGCAACCUGAAAUGAAAAAGACCAUCCUGAUGCAUCCUAUUUGUUUCUUGCAUUUAUUUGUUUCGGACCUGCAUGCUGACCGGCUUCUGAAUAUCGGGAAUAUGGAAAAAUUGAGAAUAAAAGAAAAAGUGAGAAAUAACAGUGUAGAGAGUUAAUUACCUUUUUUAGAAAAAACAAGUGCCCAAAUACUACCGAAACUCUGCUGAAAUUUUGAAAAAAUGAAAAAAUUAUUUUAUUUUUAAUUAGUUUGUGUUACUCAAAAAGAAAAAAAAUAAACAGGUCUUUGUUUUAAUUUAGGAAAAUAUAUUGUUUUAUUAUCUAUUGAGAAGAAAAGAAAAAAAAGAGACUUUUAUUUUUAGUUUGGAAAAAUAGGUUGUUUUCUUGUUUGUUGAAAAAGAAAAGAAAAAGGGGUCUUUUGUUUUUAGUUUGGAAAAAUAGGUUGUUUUGUUGUUUGUUGAAAAAAGAAAAAGAAAAAGAGUCUUUUAUUUUUACUCUCGAAAAAUGGAUUAUUUUAUUGUUUGUUGAAAUGGAAAAGAAAAAUUAGGAGUCUUUUAUUUUUAGUUUGGAAAAAUAGGUUGUUUUAUUAUUUGUUGAAAAAAGAGAGUCUUGUUUUUAAAAGUAAUUUUUUUAUUUGCUUAUAAAAUGCCAAAAAUAAAAAUUUAAAAGAGUCAUGUUUAAAAAUAGUUCGGUUAAUUUGCCCGGACUACGCAGGUUUGAUUCUCACAGGGGGUGAGAUACGUAGGCAACCCUCUCCCGGUCCAACCUCCCCUUUGUAAAAAAUAGCCCAAAAAUAUCAAAAUUUUAAUAGUUGUGAUAAAUAAGUCGGGUGAUGCUGCUUUUGUCAAAAAUAGCCGAAUGUUCCCUAAAGGGCGCCGGAAGGCUGCUUUGCAAGAACAUCCACCUUUUGAUCAGUUUUCAAGGUUUUGGCCAGUUAGCCAAUGCAACCUUAAAGUCUUCGUCCUCGAGGUGCUGAAAGUCUGUGUUUGCAAAACCAGGUAUUUAAUUUUAAUUUGAAUAAUAAGGAAAAGAUUCAAUGAUCAAGUGAGUACCGUUUGGAUUUUGGUCAAAAUAAGCCGAUCCAACUUCGACAGUGUCUUAAAUCGUUCUUGCCUAGAUAACCUUAGAGUAUCUUUCAGUUGUCGAAAGACUAUUUGUGUAAAGAACGAACAUGUUUGUGAAGUGUCAUAAAAUAAUCUUCCACGGCCUCAAAAUUCAUGUAAAAUUGAGAAGAGGCCACGUUUGCAAAAAUAGUCAUUUGGUUAAAAUUGGCAUACAGGGAAAGAAUCUGCCAGUUUGUUUUCUCUUGUGAUUAAAGUUUGUGGGUUGGUUGAUUUUUGAGUUUGUUUCGGCUUUUCAUCAGAGUCUGUUAGUUUUGUUUAAGUUUGUUAGUUUUUGAAUCAAUGUAGUCAGAGUUAGUUUUACUAUGAAAAAUUGAAAGUUUCAAAAUAUGUUUCAUUGUUUGUUUUUUACCUUUUAUUUGCACGAACUACGCUCGGUCUGAUUCGUAUGGGAUCACGAUACGUAGGCGAUCCUCAUCGGAUUCGACCAUAACCUUAAGAGAAAAAUGAAAGAAAUACAGAAAAGAAACAAAAGAGCGAGAAAAUGCGAAAACCAAGAAAAUCACAGCAAAAGAAGUCAAAAUGAAAAAAAAGGAAAAGAAGAAGAAAAAGGAAAGAAAGAAAGAAAGAAAGAAAAGAGCAGAAAAACAAGAAAGAAAAGAAAGGUCGAGGGAACGAGAGAACCGAAGCAAGGAGAAAACAAAGGCAAGAAUUGAAAAGAAAAUAGAGAAACGAAAGAAAAAAGCAAGAAGAAACAAAAAGAGAAACAAAAAGAAAAGUUUCCAUUAGAAAUAAAAACUGAGAUGACGCAACCAGUUGAGCAAAUGCAUAUAGACUCAACCAGUUGAGCAAAUGCAUAUAGACUCAACCAGUUGAGCAAAUGCAUAUAGAAUCCAUUAAACUAUUUAGGUGCAUUCAUUCAUAACAUGCGGUAAUCAAAUCUACUCAUGUCCUAACCAUUAACCAAGAUGUUGUUGAUAUUGAGUUCAGGCAGGUGGUUAGUUGUUUGGCAUUCUGGCAACGCAUUCCUACAACACCCGAUCAAAAGAUAAGCUGAGAAUGACAGGUCAGGUAUCUGAUACCAGUAUUGUGGACCUGGUAAAAGAGGUAGAUGUGUUGGAUGUUAAUGUGAUGAGGGAGGAAAUGCAUAAGUUGAGGCAGCAAAUGGCUUAAAUGCACCGAGCUUGGUCUAGGGGUCAGCCGGCGCCAGUUUAUCCCGCAAAUCUAACCUACAUCCCACCUUUGGCUCAAUCUCAGAAGCCUCAUACUGUGAAUUCAUCCCUAGUUUUUCCUCUCUACCAACAGAGUUAUGGUACCACCUCAUACCCUCCCCAAGCUCCACCACCAAAACAAAACCUUCCUCUACCAAUCAUUCGUGUCUUUGUAGCACCUCCACCUGCCACACUGCAAAUAUCUUCCAAUGAGCCUUUGUUUCAAGCUCACAACUGUCAACAUUACCUUCCUGAGGAUACCUUUAAGGUAUUCUUAUACCCCUCACUUUGAGCUCCCAGUGGAAACUGAAAACCCACUUAAGAACCUUGAGUAGGAAGAGAUGAUUCCAAAAAUUAAAAGCCUGGAGCAGUCCUUCAGGAAUAUGCAUGAAUUGGGCAAUCAGGUCAGUGUGGCCUAAAAAUAUGUGUCUGUUCCCAAAUGUUCAGCUACCUACGAGGUUCAAAAUUCCAAAUUUCGAUAUGUAUGAUGGUCACGGCGAUCCAGUGGCCAACCUGUGGGGAUUCUGUAGCAAAAUGAGAGGGGCCAAUAGGAAAGAUGAAUUACUGAUGGCGUACUUCAGCCAAGGUCUGAGCGGGUCUACUUUGGAGUGGAAUACACUAUAGGACCACGGUAAGUGGUAUAUUUUGGAUGACUUGGCACAAGCAUUUGCCAGUCAUUUUCAGUACAAUCUAGAAAUUAUUCUAGAUCGCCUAUGUUACAACCCAUAUUCACGUUUUUAACUCAUUUUAUAAGGUAAUCAACAUAAAUCCAUGAAAGGAUUAUGUUUAAGAUGAUAAGAAGUUAAUUCUAUUGGUCUUAAAUGAGAUAAAGGUGUAUCUGGGUGGAUAACAAGUACUAGAAGUUAAACGAAUCAAAGAUGUUGUCACCUGCAUUUUCAGAUAAACCUAGAGGUUCUUAGUACACUUAAGAGGUUGUGUUUUAAGGUAUUUUAAUCAUAUAAUACCCGUAUUAUAAGUCUUGAAGUCAAAUGAGUUAUGAGACAAAAGUCGACAAAAGUUGUCGCAACUUAGGUUCAUAAUUUUACUUAAACAUUAGGUCAAAUGUUACUACGCUUUUGUCCCAAUUUACUAAGAAUUAUGGAUUGAUCUAACCACAAAAUUGAAUAUCUAUAAUUCUAGUUUCUAAGUCAUUAAACCGUUUGUGGAUACGAUCUCGGAGUAGAGAGAUAUUCGCAUUUUUGUGAGAUUGCGCCAAACAUCUCUACAUUGGGCCCACUAAUGUUGUUUAAGACAUUUGAGACGAUAUAUGCCACUUCCAACCCGUUUUAAGUCAUUUAUUUUCACUAUAUUCAGAUAUUAGAACCCUAGGAAACUCCUCUAAAGGUUCUCUCAAGGUUCAAGACCCAAACAAAGGGCAAAUAACACAAAUCAAGUGUCGGGAAUUCCGUAGCGCUAGUAAGUCUCUUGUUCUUCUUGUUGUUGCUCAUUUUUGUGUUGUUCCAGAUCGUGUGGGAGGCUAUUUUAGAGGGUUUAUGUUCUGUAUAUACUCCCUCAUAUUAUUAAUAUCAACCCUAGGUAAUUUCAAGCCUCCUAAAGUAAUUCUAGUGCCGAAAAAUUCUAAUUGACCGCUAGUUUCGGUUUUAGAGGGUUUAUGUUUUGUAAAUACUCCCUCAUGUUAAUAAUAUCAACCCUAGGUGAUUUCACGCCUCCUAAAGCAAUUUUAGUGCUGAAAACUACUAAUUGACCGCUAGUUUCAUUUUCUUGUUGUUGUGGGAGCAUUGGAGGGAUAUUUCAUGGUUAUUUAAGGUGAAAUUGGAGUUUUUCUUUCUGAAUAAAGGUAAGGAACCUCUUACUCUAUAUGUAUUUAAGAUAAUCCAAGUUGGCUAAGCCAUUGAAGCUAGAACUUGUGAAAUAUAUAUCGAAAGGCUUGGUAGUAAUGUUAUCGGUCGGUGGACUGUUUUGGAAGACUCAAAAUGAUUAUGCUUUUUGGGAUGUUUGGUGAUUUUUUUGAAUGGUUUGAAGUCAUAAAUAUAGGGAAGGUGCUGUCCGUUUAUCGUAAAAUAGGUUGUCGUCGAUACACAAUGGCUAUGACGCUUAUAUGAUAACGAUAAUAUCGUUUAUGUUAUUGUAGACUAAGGGGUGUGACAAUUGCAUUGCUUGAGAUUUGGGAAAUAUAUACAAGGUACGUGAGUCUAUACCUUUUCUUCUUUUGCAUGACUCUGAUUAUACAUAAUGUAAUGAAUGAGCUUCCAAAGAUACUCUACUCUUAGAAGCUAGCNNNNNNNNNNNNNNNNNNNNNNNNNNNNNNNNNNNNNNNNNNNNNNNNNNNNNNNNNNNNNNNNNNNNNNNNCAAUACUUACAUUGUUUCCCCUCUUAUGGAACGAUUGAUGUUAAUGUUGCUUCUCUUAUUCUUAUGUUAUCAAUGUUGUUGGUACUUCAUGAUUCUUGUAAGGUUCAUAGUGAAGAGUUAGUCCUAAUAACGUGUACAGAGGAUACCGUCCUUUCGUCACUCCAAAAGGUUUAGAGUCUGAUUCCAUGAGCCGAGCAUGCAUUAUAUAUAUGUAUCUAUUUUACUCUACCGAGCCGUACUAUAGUCGGCCGGGUACGUCACCUACUGUGCAACCAGUAAUCAGUUGGGUUUUACCGAGCUCUACGUGGCUGGGUACGAUCUACCGAGCCUUACGAUGACCGGGUAUGUUUUUAUCGAGCCUAUUACGGCCGGGUACGAUAUGAUGAUGAUGAUGAUGCCCACAGAGGCGUAUGUUUUAAACGUUUAUGUAUUUAUACAUAUGUAUCAUGCAUUUCAUGUCAGUAACCCUCAGAGGUACUCAGUUGUUACAGGUUGUAUAUUCUCUAUCCAUGUUUACAUUACUGUUUGUAUUUAUGGUUCCCUGCCUUACAUACUCGGUACAUUAUUCGUACUGACGUCCUUUUAUUUGUGAAUGCUACAUGUUGUGCUGCAAGUACUGAUAGAAAAGCAGGUGCAGCUCCCCCACCACAGUAGGAUAUAGGUGUAUAUGGUGUAUUUAUGGUUCCCUGCCUUACAUACUCGGUACAUUAUUCGUACUGACGUCCUUUUAUUUGUGGAACGCUGGAUGUUGUGCUGCAGGUCCUGAUAGACAGGCAGGUGCAGCUCCCCCACCACAGUAGCCUGUCCAGUUCAGCGAUGAUUGGCGAGAUCCCUUCUCUGGAAUUGCCUUGGUCUUGGUAUGCAUUUUUGUUAUAGACAUUAUAGGUAUGUCGGGGCCCUGUUCCGGCUAUGAUGCAUCACUUAUGUUACUUUAGAGGCUCAUAGAUAGGUGUCCACUCAUGUAUAGGUUAGUAUGCUUUGUCGGUUGAUGUUUGUUGUAUAGUCUUCCAUGGUAGAGUGGUAUUAGAGGCUGAUAGACAGGUGUGGACUCAUGUAUAGUUUGGUAUGCGUUGUCGGCUGCUUUUUGCUGUAUAGCCUUUCAUGAUAGUAUGGUAGCUCGUACUAUAUAUAUAUAUAUAGUUUCUUGAUUGUCUGGUCAUCCCAGGUUAUGUAGGUUCAUGCCAUGAUAUUUUAUUGUUGGUUGUCCAUGAUCCAUGUCUACCAUUUAUAUUGAUCUCCUCAGCCCUAANNNNNNNNNNNNNNNNNNNNNNNNNNNNNNNNNNNNNNNNNNNNNNNNNNNNNNNNNNNNNNNNNNNNNNNNNNNNNNNNNNNNNNNNNNNNNNNNNNNNNNNNNNNNNNNNNNNNNNNNNNNNGUUGGGUGCUAGUCAUGGCCCUCCAGUUUGGGUCGUGACAAACUUGGUAUCAGAGCAAGUCUGUCCUAGGGAUUGUCUAUGAGCCGUGUCUUGUAGAGUCUUGAUUAUGGAUGUGUAGCGCGCCACAUUUACAAUCAGGAGGCUAUAUGACAUCUAGAGCUGUUACCUUCUUCCUUAAUCUAGAUCGUGCGUAGAGUUGAGUCAUAAGUGUUCGUCUAUAAUAUUAACCUUGUUUUCUUUCAGAGAUGCCUUCGACUAAGAAGCAAACAAUUAGUAGACGGCUUGAUACAGCUGCGGGAAAGGGUACCAGUCAGAUGCCCCAAGCCAGAGCAGGCCAAUGUGAGGAUCAGAGCGAGAUGCCGUCUCAUACCUCAUCUACUCCGUCUCCUCCAGGGGAUAUUAAGAGGCACCCAACACCUCCAGUUCCUUCAUCUGGCACUACAAAUCAGGAAAUGCGGAGUGCUUUGCAGUUAUUGACCAGCUUUGUGGCUGCUCAGGAUCAGAGGCAGAAUAUAGGUGCUGCUGAUAAACAAGUUAGUUGGAGAGUUCGUGAUUUUAUUAAUUUACCCCCCAGUGUUUACCAGAUUAGACCUCAAGGAGGACGCGCAGACUUUUAUUGACUAGGUUUUUCGUACACUGCGGGUUAUGCAUGUUAGUGAUACAGAGGCAGUAGAGUUGGCAUCUUAUCGGCUACGUGAUUUAGCGGCUCUCUGGUAUGAUAGUUGGGAGAGAUUUAAGGGUUCGAACGCUCUUCCAGCAAAGUGGAAGGAAUUUUUUGAGGCCUUUCUUCGUCAUUACUUGCAUGUUCAUAUACAACGAGUUAGAGCUGAUAAGUUCUUGAACCUUAGACAAGGUAAUAUGAAUGUGCGAGAGUACAAUAUGCAAUUUGUUUUUUAGCAAGGUAUGCUCCCCAUAUGGUGGCCGAGAUGAGUGAUAGGGUGCAUUUGUUCAUGAAGGGGUUGGGACCACAUCUGAUUAAUGAAUGCACGACAGUCUCCUUAGUGGAGGGCAUAGAUAUUUCCCAUAUUCAGGCUUAUGUAUAGACCCUAGAGGAUCGUAAGCGCCAACAGAGGGCAGAUAGGGCACGACAACCUCCUUGGUAGAGGGCAUGGAUAUUUCCUGUAUUCAGGCCUAUGCCCAGACCCUAGAGGAUCGUAAGCGCCAGUAGAGGGCAGAUAGGGAGCAGGAUAGGGGCCAGCAUAAGAGGGCGAGAUUUGCAAGGUAUCCUUAUGACUUCAGAGGCAGCGUCAAGCCCUAGUCUUCGAGGAGUUUGGUGCCACCUGUAGCUAGUGCUCCUCUACAGUUUAAGAUGCCUCGAUAUUUGAUGACUUCAGAGGCAGUGUCAGGCCCCAGCCUUCGAAGAGUUCAGCUCCAUCUGUAGCUUGUGCUCCUCCACUGUUUCAGAGGCCUCGAUAUGAUCGAUCAUAUUCUGGUCCAGGUCAGAGUUCACGGGCAUCUGUCACGCAACAACACACGAAUACUAGUCAGAUGAGACCCCAAACACCACGUUGUGAUCAGUGCGGCAAGGCCCACUUUGGACUGUGCCGUCGAGGUUCUGAUGCAUGCUAUUCGUGUGGAUAGCCUGGCCAUAUGAUGCGGGAUUGUCCUAAUAGGGGAGGUGAUGGUAUGGCUCAACCGACUGGAUCUAUUUCUAGUUCUUCCUCAUCAGUUUGACAUCCAGCAUUGGGUUUUCAGCAGUCGACAGGUCAUGGUAGAGGUAGAGGUGCAGUGCCGAGUUCGAGUGGGCUAAAAAUCGAACCUAUGCUCUAGUAGGUCGACAAGAUCUCGAGUCAUCUCCAGAUGUUGUUAUAUGUAUAUUGUCUAUGUUUUCUUAUAAUGUAUACUCGCUGAUUGAUCCGAGAUCUACAUUAUCAUAUGUUACACCCUUUAUGGCUAUUAAGUUUUGCAUUGAACCAGAAUUGAUAAGUAAACCCCUUGCGGCAUCUACUCUGAUAGGAGAUUCUGUGAUUGCUAGAAGGGUAUAUAGAGGUUGUACUGUUAUGAUUUAUGGUCGUCAAACCACGACAAAUUUAUUUGAGUUAGAAAUGGUUGAUUUUGAUGUGAUAAUGGGAAUUGACUGGUUGGCCUCAUGCUAUGCAAAUAUUGACUGUCGUACGAAAUGGUUAGGUUUUAAUUUCCGGGAGAACCUAUCAUUGAAUGGAAGGGGGACAUUGCUACACCAAAAGUAGGUUUAUUUCCUAUCUUAUGGCAAGGAAAAUGAUCUCAAAAGGUUACAUUUAUCAUCUCGUUCGUGUUAAGGAUGCAGAGGCAAAGCCGCCUACUCUACCAUCAAUCCCUAUGGUCAAUGAAUUUCUAGAUGUUUUCCCUGAAUUAAGGAUGCGAAGGCGAAGCCGCCUACUCUACAAUCAAUCCCUGUGGUCAAUGUAUUUCCAGAUGUUUUCCUAGAUGAACACUCAGGCCUUCCUCCUGAAACGGAGAUUGAGUUUAGCAUUGAUGUGUUGCUUGACACUCAACCGAUCUCCAAAAAGAAUGGUCCCGGCAGAGUUGCGAGAGUUGAAAUCGCAGUUAAAGGACCUGCUGGAUAAGGGCUUCAUUAGGUCUAACACUUCACCUUGGGGUGCACCAGUCCUAUUCAUGCUGAAGCAAGAUGGGUCGUUACAUAUGUGAAUAGACUAUUGACAGUUGAAUAAGGUUACAAUAAAGAACAAGUAUCCACUUCCAAGAAUUGAUGACUUGUUUGACCAACUCCGGGUGCCAAGUAUUUCUCCAAGAUUGACUUACGUUCGGGGUAUCAUCAGGUGAGGGUUAAGGAGAAGGAUAUUCCAAAGACGAAUUUCUGAACACGAUAUGGGCAGUUUGAGUUCUUGGGGAUGUCGUUCGGGCUACCAAAUGCCCCAGCUUCUUUUAUGGGUCUCAUGCAUACUGUAUUCAAGACCUAUCUUGAUGUGUUUGUGAUUGUAUUCAUUGAUGACAUUCUUGUGUAUUCUCGUUCGGAGGUGGAACAUGCGGGCCAAUUGCGGAUAGUAUUACAGACGCUUCAUGAUCGUAAGUUAUAUGCUAAGCUCUCCAAAUGUGAAUUCUGGAUAAACUCAGUAGCAUUCCACGGCCAUGUGAUAUCUCAUGAGGGUAUUAGUGUUACACUCAGAAGAUCGAUGCAGUAAAGAAUUGGCCGAGACCUACAACACCAUCAGAAGUCUGCAGCUUCCUAGGGUUAGCAGGAUAUUAUAGGCGGUUUGUAAAAGGGGUUUUCUCUAUAUAAGCACCAUUGACUAAGUUAACAUAGAAAGCUACCAAAUUCCAGUGGUCUGACACUUGUGAACGUAGUUUUCAGGAGCUGAAGAAUCGAUUGACAUCCGCACCAAUGCUCACACUCCCUGAAGGAACAGAAGGUUAUAUGGUAUAUUGUGAUGCCUCAAGUAUAGGUUUGGGGUGCGUAUUGAUGCAGCGUGGGAAGGUGAUUGAUUAUGCAUCAAGACAAUUGAAGAAGCAUGAAAAGAAUUAUCCAACCCAUGAUUUGGAAUUGGCUGCAGUAAUAUANNNNNNNNNNNNNNNNNNNNNNNNNNNNNNGAGUUGAAUUUGGGGCAGCGUAGGUGGCUUGAAUUACUGAAAGUCUAUGACGUCGAGGUAUUAUUUCAUCCCGGUAAAGCCAAUGUUGUGGCAGACUCUCUCAGUCGUAAGUCAAUGGGAAGUUUAGUACAUAUUGAUGCAGUUAGAUGGGGGUUGACAGAGCUUCUUCAGCUUGCCAAUAUGAGAAUCAGAUUGUUAGACUCUGAUGACGGAGAUGUUACUGUACAUAAUACAUCAGAAUCAUCUUUGUUGCCGAGGUAAAAGCAUGGAAAUAUGAAGAUCCUAUCCUAGUACGAUUGAGAGAGAGCAUUCAGUAGUGUAAACUUACGGCUUUUGAGAUUAGAGGAGAUGGGGCACUGAGAUACCAUGCCCGAUUAUGUGUGCCUAAUGUGGCAGGGUUGCGAGGGAAGAUUAUGAUGAGAUUCAUCAAUCUCGGUAUAUCAUCCAUCCCGGCUCGACAAAGAUGUAUCAUGAUGUCAAGGAGCAGUAUUGGUGGGAUAACAUGAAGAAUUCUAUUGCAUAAUUUGUAGCCCAGUGUCACAAUUGUCAACAAGUAAAGAUAGAACAUCAGAAACCCGGUGGAUUGCUCUAGGAUAUAGAGUUUCCAACCUGUAAAUGGGAGGUGAUUAAUGUGGAAUUUGUUAUUGGAUUACCUCACACUUAUCAUAAGUUUGAAUCCAUCUGGGUGAUAGUUGAUCGACUUACGAAAUGUGCCCAUUUUCUGCCAGUUAAGACAACUUACACGGCUGAAGAUUAUGCAAAGUCGUAUAUCAAGGAUAUUGUUAGGCUUCAUUGUUUGCCAAUAUCUAUUAUAUCAGACCGAGGAGCUCAAUUUCCAGCUAACUUUUGGAGGUCUUUUCAAAAGGGAUUAGGCACACAAGUGAAUCUCAGCACCGCAUUUCAACCGCGGAUAGACGGACAGGCUGAACGUACAAUUCAAACACUGGAAGAUAUGCUACGAGCGUGCGUUCUAGAAUUUAAGGGGAAUUGGGACGACCAUCUUCCACUCAUAGAAUUUGCCUACAAUGAUAGCUACCAUUCUAGUAUUAAAAUGGCCCCAUACGAGGCACUAUACGUGAGGAUAUGUAGAUUACAAGUUGGAUGGUUCGAAGUUGGUGAAACAGAAUUAUAUGGCCAAAUUUGAUUCACCAAGCCAUUGAGAAGGUGAAAGUGAUACAAGAGCGAUUGAAGACAACACAAAGCAGGGAAAAGUCUUAUUCCGAUGUCCGACAUCGUGAUCUGGAGUUUGAGGUUUGUGAUUGGGUUUUCUUGAGGAUCUCACCAAUGAAGGGUAUUAUGCGUUUUGGGAAGAAAGGUAAGCUAUGUCCAAGUUAUAUCAGGCCGUAUAAAAUUCUUUGACGAGUCGGAUAGGUUGCUUAUGAGUUAGAAUUGCCAUCCGAAUUAGAAUUUGCUCAUCCGGUAUUUCAUGUAUCUAUGUUAAGGAAAUGUAUUGGAGACUCUUCUCGGGUUGUCGCUAUCAAAGAUAUACAAGUUACCGAGGACCUAUCAUAUGAAGAAGUUCCUGUGGCUAUAUUGGAUCAACAAGUCCACAAGCUGAGAACAAAAGAUGUAGCUUCCGUCAAAGUAUUGUGGAGGAAAAAGAAUGUAGAAGAUAUGACAUGGGAAUCAGAAGAGGAGAUGAAGUCUAAAUACCCUUAUCUAUUCCAGAAUAAAGAUAACAAGGAUGUUUGUGGAACAAAGGAUACAUUGGAAGGUGAAACGACUCUAUGAGGUAACCAAUAUCUUGAGAAUGCUCUUCCUUAAUACAAAAUAGGGAUAUGCAGAUAUAAAUAUCCAUAAUACUUUGUGUAGCCGGCCAUAUGUUGGGAUUAAGUGCUUGCAAGUUUGUCUAGUGACCAUUUUAUAGGGGGGGAAAUUGAUCAAAAAUUUCCGUUGGAAUCCACGAUGAUUUGGACUCCCCAUAGACCCUUCCAUUCGAGGACGAAUGUUCCUAAGGGGGGGAGGGUGUUACAACCCAUAUUCACAGAUGUUAGCUCAUUCCAUAAGGUAAUCGACAUAAAUCCAUGAAAGGAUUAUCUUUAUGAUGAUAAGAAGCUAAUUCUAUUGGUCUUAAAUAAUACAAAGCAUAUGGGUGGAUAACAAGUACUACAAGGUAAACGGAUCAAAGAUGUUGUCAGUCGUAUUUUCGGAUAAACCUAGAGGUGCUUAGUACACUCAAGAGGUAUUAUUUUAAGGUAUUUUAAUCAUAUAAUAUCCGUAUUAUAAGUCUUGAAUUCAAAUGAGUUAUGAGNNNNNNNNNNNNNNNNNNNNNNNNNNNNNNNNNNNNNNNNNNNNNNNNNNNNNNNNNNNNNNNNNNNNNNNNNNNNAGUUAUGAGACAAAAGUCGACAAAAGUUGUCGCAACUUAGGUUCAUAAUUUUACUUAAACAUUAGGUCAAAUGUUACUAAGCUUUUAUCCUAAUUUACUAAGAAUUGUGGAUUUAUCUAAACUCCAAAUUGAAGAUCUAUGAGUCUAGUUUCUAAUUCAUUAAACCGUUCAUCGAUACGAUCUCGGAGUAGAGUGAUAUUCGCGUUUUUGCGAGACUGCGCCAAGCACCUCUCCAUAGCCCCCACUACGGCGGUUUAAGACAUUUGGGCCUAUAUAUGCCACUUCCAACCCGUUUUAAGUCAUUUAUUUUCAAUAUUUUCAGACCUUAGAACCCUAGGAACAUCCUCUCAAGGUUAUCUCAAGGUUCAAGACCCAAACAAAGGCAAACAACACAAAUCGUGUUCGGGAGUUCCGUGGCGCUAGUAAGUCUCUUGUUCUUCUUGAUGUUGCUCAUUUUUGUGUUGUUCCAGCUCGUGUGGGAGGUUGUUUUAUAGGUUUUAGGUUCUGUAAAUACUCCCUCAUGUUAUUAAUAUCAACCCUAGGUGAUUUCAAGCCUCCUAAAGCAAUUCUAGUGCCGAAAAAUACUAAUUGACCGUUAGUUUCGUUUUCUUGUUGUUGUGGCAGCAUUGGAGGGAUAUUUCAUGGAAAUUUAAGGAUAAAUUGUAGUUUUUAUUUCUGUAUAAAGGUAAGUAAACUCUUACUCUAUAUGUAUUUAAGAUUAUUAAAGUGGUGGCAAAGCUAGUGAAGCUAGAACUUGUGAAAUAUAUAUCGAAAGGCUUGGUAGUAAUGUUAUCGGUUGGUGGACUGUUUUGGAAGACUCAAUAUGAUUAUUAUUGAUGCUUUUUCUUUUUUUAGUGAUUUUUUUGAAUGGUGUGAAGUCAUAAAUAUAUGGGAGGUGUUGUCCGUUUAUCGUAAAAUAGGUUUUGGUCGAUACACAAGUGCUAUGACGCUUAUAUGAUAAUGAUAGUAUCGUUUCUCUUAUUGUUGACUAAGGGGUGAGACAAUUCCAUAGCUUGAGAUUUGGGCAAUAUAUACAACGUAUGUGAGGCUAUACCUUUCCUUCUUUUUCACGACUCCUAUUAUACAUAAUGUAAUGAAUGAGCUUCGAAAGAUACUCUACUCUUAGAAGCUAGCAGUACUUACACUGUUUCCCAUCUUGUGGAACGAUUGAUGUUAAUGUUGCUUCUCUUAUUCUUAUGUUAUCAAUGUUAUUGUUACUUCCUGAUUCCUAUAAGGUUCAUAGUGAAGAGUUAGUACUAAUAACGUGUACAGAGGGAACCGACCUUACGUCACUCCAAAAGAUUUAGAGCGUGAUUCCACGAGUCGAGCAUGCAUUAUAUAUAUGUAUCUAUUUUACUCUACCAAGCCGCGUUAUAGUUGGCCGGGUACGACACCUACUGUGCAACCACAGAUCAGUUGGGUUUUAUCGAGCUCCACGUGGCCGGGUACGAUCUACCGAGCCUUAUGAUGGCCUGGUACAUAUUUACUGAGCCUAUUAUGGCCGGGUACGAUAUGAUGAUGAUGAUGCCCACAGAGGCAUAUGUUUUAAAAGUUUAUGUAUUUAUACAUAUGUAUCAUGCAUUUCAUAUCAGUAGUCCUCAGAGGUACUCAGAUGUUACAAGUUUUAUAUUCUCUAUCCAUGUUUACAUUACUGUUCGUAUUUAUGGUUCCCUGCCUUACAUACUCGAUAUAUUAUUCGUAUUGAUGUCCUUUUAUUUAUGGACGAUGCAUGUUGUGCUGCAGGUCCUGAUAGACAGUGAUGAUGAUGCCCACAGAGGCAUAUGUUUUAAAAGUUUAUGUAUUUAUACAUAUGUAUCAUGCAUUUCAUAUCAGUAGUCCUCAGAGGUACUCAGAUGUUACAAGUUUUAUAUUCUCUAUCCAUGUUUACAUUACUGUUCGUAUUUAUGGUUCCCUGCCUUACAUACUCGAUACAUUAUAUGUACUGACGUCCUUUUAUUUAUGGACGCUGCAUGUUGUACUGCAGGUCCUGAUAGACAGGCAGGUGCAGCUCCCCUACCACAGUAGGCUUCCCAGUUCAACGGUGAUUGGCGAGAUCCCUUCUCCGGGCUUGCCUUGGUCUUGGUAUGCAUUUUUGUUAUAGACAUUAUGGGUAUGUCGGGGCCCUGUUCCGGCUAUGUUGCAGCACUUAUGUUCCUUUAGAGGCUCAUAGACAGGUGUGGACUCAUGUAUAGUUUGGUAUGCCUUGUCGGCGGGUUGUUGUAUAUAUAUAGUUUCUUGAUUGUCUCGUCAUUCCAGGUUAUGCAGGUUCAUACCAUCAUAUUAUUGUUGGUUGUCCAUGAUCCAUGUCUACCAUUUAUAUUGAUCUCCUCAUCCCUAAGAGAUGAUAAAGAAGGUUAGAUAAAAUGUACAUUGAUGCUCGGCAUGUAUGGUCGGGUGCUAGUCAUGGCCCUCCAGUUUGGGUUGUGACAGCCUGUCACUAAUAAAACUUGAAAAGAAGCCCAGGGAAAUUUUCAGGGAAUAUGGGUUCCGCUGAAGAGAACAGGCUGCGAGGAUCGAUCCUCCAAUGAGGGAAAGUUUAAUGGUGGACUAUUUUUUGCAGGCUUUGGAGCCAACUUACUUUGGUAACCUGGUGACAGCAAUUGGCAAAUCUUUUAAUUAAGUGGUGUAGAUGGGAGCCAUGGUCGAGGAAGGAUUAAAAUCUGAUAAAAUUAUGAGCUAUUAAGUUAUUCAAGCAACCACCCAGGCCAUCCAAAGCAAAACUGGGGGUGUGCUGGGAAAGAAGAAGAAAGAAGAGGUUGCAACAGUCGAAGCCGGAGCUUGGUCCAGAUCUAGAGGCCCUCCGUCCUAUUACCAACCAAGACCCUAUCACCCAAAUUACAUAUACACCCCAUAUGGCCAUCCAAAACCCUACUUCCUACCGCUGGAGCCACAUUUCUCCGUUCACCAUGCUCAAGCCUAUACCUAGCCUCCGGCUCAUGCGCAAUGGCGUGCACUGGUUACCCAAAAACACAUACCCACCUCCAAAAAUAUACAUAUCCACCCCCAGGGCCUACGGAAAUCCUCCAGGGUCCAGUUUUCAUGGGAAUCAAUCUUUCAAGAAUGAGAGGGUGUAGAAGCAGAGAACAUUCACUCCGCUGGGCAAGUCAUAUACUAGUCUUUUCCACAAAAUGAGGCAGCUGGGCCUUUUGACCCCAAUUGAGCCCAAAGUUCCAAAUCCCCUUCCUAGAAAUAUGGACUAGUCAUUGAGUUGUGAAUAUUGUUUGGGAGCCCCCAUUGACACUCACCGGAUUGAGAUUCAGACCCCUGAGGCACCAAAUAUCAAUUAGAAUCCGUUGCCGACUCACCAUGAGGCUCAUGUGAUUGAAUUGAUGCAUAAGGGAGAAAAUCCUAAGAAACCAUCGCAGACGGUAAUGAUGAUCCAUUCUAGCAAAACCAAUUUGAAUGAAAAGCCAACCAGUGAGAAAGUGGUGGUUCAGUUGAAAAGGGUAGAUAACAAGCCGCUAUCAUAAAAGGUUCUUGGGUCAUUGAGUGGUGCGGAUGGAUAUGUGGGACAAGGGUUCAAAAUAUUAUUCACUAAGGUAAACAUUGUUGAAGUAGGAGAAGGGUCGAGCAAAGCAAAUGUGCAGUUCGUCUGACCAUGGCAAAAGUCAACGACUGGAAGUCUUGGUAGUGGGUCUUGUUUUUCAUUAAGCUGUCUAGAUUAUUCUAGGGUUGUAGUCCAGAUACUAUGUUCUGUCCGUUUGGAUGAGUUAAAUCCCUGUUAUUUGUUCCUUCUAUAAAAAGAAAUUGUCUUUCUUUCUUUAUUCUUAAUUCCGUUUCAGUUUGUUUUUCUUCUCUGUACAGUUCUUUUUAUGUUGGUAUCAAUAACAUGACAUGCAUGCGGAAUCCUUGUUCCAGUCUUGAAAGCCGAUCUUAUUCUGAAGUGAUAAUACAAGAAAUUGAGUGUGAUAAUGAGUUGGAACAUGAUGGCGGUUUCACCCGCCUUGGACAGUUGAGUUUGAUUAAUGAAAAUAGAUUAGUAUCAGUGCGUCAUGACCAAUUGUACCAACAAAAAUGGCAAGAGCGUACAACAAUAAAGUGCAUCCAAGAAAGUUUGAAGUCGGACACUUAUUUCUGAGACGUAUCUUGCCUCAUCGGGCUGAAGCAAAAGGAAAAUUUGCCCCAAACUGGCAGGUUCCAUUUGUUGUAACCAGAGUAUUGUAUAGUGGUGAAUUAUAUCUAACAGAUGUGGAAGGAAAAUGUGAAUAAAUGGCCAUCAACUCCAAUGUGGUCAAGAGGUACUCUGUAUGAUUUCUUACUUUUGAUUGUACUUGUUUUGUAUUUGGCAUAUUUUGAAGAUUGAAAUGACGAAGGUGUUUUGUUCUACUAUCUUAAACACUUUCAUACCCCUAUUCAGAAUUAAUGGCACAAUUAAGAAACGCAAGUGCCGAAAAUAAGUAAAUGAAAACAAGGAAGGAAAGAGACGAAAAGGAAAGGGAAAAGAAGAAGAAAGAAAAGGAAAAAAAAAGAAGAAAAGGAAAAAAGAAAAGAGAAAAGAAAAGAAAAGGAAAGAAGAAGAAAGAAAAGGAAAGGGAAAAACAAAAAGGAAAUAAAGAAAGGAGAAAAGAAAAGGAAAUAAAAGAAGAAGAAAAAAGAAAGAAAAGAAAAAUGAAGAAGGAAAAAGAAAGAAAAAAAGAAAUACAACAACGUAGUUUCUAUGACGUGAACUAUGUUUGACUUGAUCCCAAAAGGGUAUGUAGGCAUCCUCUCUAAGGUUCAGUCAUACCAAAAUAAAAAUUCUAAAGUUCCCAAGCAAGAAACUGGGGCAGAAGUUAUGGUUGUUGGAAUUAUAUGAUUCCGAAAGUUGUAAUUUUAACACAUUUUGAAAUUGUUUUGAGCCUUUCAUACCCUUAAUUUCUUACCCCGUCCAAAGCCCACAUUACAGUCCAAAGAAAGACCUUCUGAUCAGUCUUUGAGAAGUGACAAGUCAAGAAAGGUAAAAGUAAUUCAUGUCUUGGGCAACACUCUGGUUCAAGCCGGAAAAAUUAAAAAUAAGAGAAUCUUAUUGGUGAAAAUCCUCACGAGCACCGUAAGGCGACGGGAGCUGAGAGAAAUAAAAAUGGGAGAGUCUUAUUGGUGAAAACCUUCACGGGAAUCGUAAGGUGAUGAAAGACGAGAGAGAUUGAAAUGAGAGAGUCUUAUUGGUGAAAACCCUCAUGGGAACCUUGAGGCGAAAGUGAGUUAAGAAAUGAACAAAUGAGAGAGGUCAGCUGGUGGAAAACUGUUUCAAGGCACUGCAUGAUGAACAAGGUUAAGGUUUGGGUAAAGUAAUCAAGUGAUGGAAACUCUGGGGCAACAAAGUGUGGCGACCAAGAGGUGGUUAGUUGGACAGAUUGGGCCUAUUAGUCCAGAGUGAAUGACAUGACCAUUGAUACCAGCAAUUCCGGUCAGAUAAGUUUCUUUUCCUUCUCUUUUAGCAAUCAUCCAGUUUUGGAUUCUUCUUAUCCUUAACUCAUAAAAUCAUUGCAUUUUAUUUUUUUGAGAGUUUUAUCUGUCUAAGAUGUUCAAUGUCGGUUUUUUUCAAUGCAAGUAGAAAGGAUUCAAAGCUCGCUAACAGCUUUCGGAAUUUGUAAAGCACAAUGUGGUCAGAACGCGUCAAAGACAACGUAAUGUAAGGAGGAAUACAGGGAAUCACCAGAAAUGUCAUCCAUAGAAUAAUUGGGAAAUGUUGUGGGAAAAUGCAAAGGUUCAGAUAAAGGGGUCAGAGAUGUGAAACAACAGCAUGUGUACAAAACAUUGGGGUUGUCAGAGGUUGGGAAUUUGAAAGACAGUCAGAAGGUCAAGCGGUUUAGGGCUAGUUCGGGGAAGAUGGUAAAAAAAAAGCAAUAUAGUGGAAGGAUUUUCAGCAAGAAUGCCAUCAACUAACCACCAUUUUAAACUUAUAAAAUUUUCUUUGAUCGAAACAGGGGCAGAAAAGUCGGUUGUUCAGGAAAUAUUCUCCGCAAAGGAAAAAAUGAGCAAUAAUCAGGUUUGACCGCAAAGCGUGGUGUGAUUAAAGUACAAGAUAAUCAUGAAUAACAUAGAGGAAUAAAAGUUUGCAUGUUUACGAUAAAAUUCAAGUAGAAGUCGUCAGGGCCUUCCUGGAUAAUAGGAUGUGGUUCAAAAACCCUUGUAGAUAACAUGAUGUAGCGAGAGUAAUACCUGAGGUUUGUAAUUGUUAGGAGUUGUUAGGACCUUCCCUGAUAAUAUGAUGUAGUUUAAAAACCCUUGUUGAUAACGUGAUGUAGUGAGAGUAAUAUCUUGGGUUCAUAAUUGUUAGGAGUUGUUAGGAUCUCCCUGAAUAAUAGGAUUUAGCUUUCAAUUCUCAGUAAUAUUUGGUAAUAUGAUUUGGUUUAAAAUUUACCCAUAUACCCAGCUUCCAACUGGGGUAGAGAAUUUUAUUUUGUUGCUUAUUUUGUUGAAGUCAGGAGUCCACCCGGAGAACAGAGACAUGCAUUUCGAAUUUCAGAAGUCAGGAGUCCGCCUGGAGAACAGAGACAUACAAUUCAAGUUUUAGCAGUCAGUUGCCUGCCAGAAGAAAAGAGGUGAUACAAUUAAAAAUUUAAGUUUUCAAUAAAUUUCUUUGUCUAUUUUAAAGUCAGAAGCCCGCCUGGAUAGCAUGAGAAUACAUUCAAUCGCAACAGUCAGGAGCCCGCCUGGAGAACAAGGGAGUACAAUUUAAAAUUUUAGCUUUCAAAGUUCUUUGUUUUGUCUAUUUUGUGAAGUCACGAGAGCCUGGAGAGAAAGGAAUACAUUUCAAGUUCCAAAUUCAGUAGCCUGCCCAGAUAGCAUAGGAAUACAUUCAUGUUUUGAAUCUAGGAGCUCGCCUGGAUAGCAUGGGAAUACAUUCAAUCGCAGCAGUCAGGAGCCCGCCUGGAGAACAAGGGAGUACAAUUUAAAGUUUUAGCUUUCAAAAUUCAUUGUUUUGCCUAUUUUUUGAAGUCAGGAGUCCGCCUGUAGAACAGAGGUAUACAAUUCAAAUUUUAGAAUUCAGGAGCCCGCCUAAAGAACAGAGAAAUACAUUCAAGUUUUGUCAUCAGGAGCUCGCCUGGAGAACAGAGGUAUUACAAUUCAAGCUUUAGUUUUAAUUCUUAUUAAAUAUCCGAUAAAAUGUACCCAGUUUUCCAAAGUGGGGCCGAAAGUUUUCUUUGUUUUGUUUAUUUUGUGAAGUCAGGAGCCCCACCUGGAUAAUAGAAGAAUACAUUUCAUGUUUGAAGUUAGGAGCUCGCCUGGAGAAUAGACGUAUUACAAUUCCAUCUUUAUUUUUCAAAUUCUUGUUAGUAUCUGGUAACGUAACGCCUAGGUUUCCAAACUGGGGUAGAAAGUUUUCUUUGUUUUAUCUAUUUUUGAAGUCAGGAACCCUCCUGGAGAACAUAGGAAUACAAUUCAAGUUUUGAAGUUAGGAGUCCGCCUGAAGAAUAGAGGUAUUAUAAUUCAAGUUUUAGUUUUAAUUCUUAUUAAUAUCCUGUAACAUGUACCCAGUUUCCAAACUGGGGCAGAAAGCUUUCAUUGUUUUGUUUAUUUUGUGAAGUCAUAAGCCCGCCUAAAGAACAUAGAAAUACAUUCAAGUUCAAGUUUAGAAGUCAGGAACCCGCCUGGACAACGUCGGAUAUAUUCAAGUUUAGCAGUUUGAAGGAAAGGAACAACAUCUCAGUUUACAAUUCGAAGUGAUAACAAUGGAUUUCACCAAGAGAACACAAGAUAAUAAGGCAACAGGAGAACACAAGACAACAAGGCAACAAGAAAUACAAGAUCAAGUUUGAAGAAUUUAGAUAGGACCUCUAUAAUUCGUAGGGCAUAACGUAGUUUAGCUUCUUUUAUUUUGACAUGGUGUAAUAAGGGAGGUCAGCAAGCAGUGCCAACAGCAAUCACAGUGAAAAUCACAGCUCCUGUUAGCCCCAGCUACCAGACAUUCCCAAACUACACUGACCUGAUUCCUGUUUAGCUCUGGAUAUGUUGGCAACCUCCGAAGCAGGGUGCGGUCAACUCUUUCAAAAAUAUUUCAUGAGAAAUAUUCGAACGGCCAAAAAUCGCUCAUUUCUGCUCACUUAUCUUUGCACAAAAACUCUUCGUGUUUUCAAGCAAAGAGGGGCAGCUGUGAGCACGUGAUUUUUGCCCUAUAUAUGAAUUACUCCCAAAAAUUCAAAAAAAAAAUUUCUUUCAUUAUUUUGCAAAUUUGUGAAUUUUGUGUUAUUUUCUGUUAAUUGUUUGCAUUUUAUUUGUGCAUUUUAAUCAAUGAAAAAUAUAAAAAUACUUGGCAUUUGUAUUUAUAAUUUAAAUUCAUACUUUAGGAUUAAGUAAUAGUUUAAAUCGCUUGAAAAUAAAGAAAAUAAAAAAAAUAGCCCACUUUUACAUUUUUAAAUGUUAAUGGUUGAAUUUGUCAUGAGUUUAUUUUUAAAUAGGGUUUAAACAAUUUUGGAAUUAAUAAGCUUAACUUGGAAAUAUAUUAGGUCUUUAUUUUUAUGUUAGCAUUUUUAAAAUCAGAAAAACAUAUAGAAAAUAUACAAAAUGAAAAAAGAAAAUUAAAAGAAGAAAACAAAAAACAAACCAAUACAUGCCAAAUCCAAUUGGGCUAAUUUUAUUUGAACCAGCCCAAACCAAAAGAUACCUAGGCCGGCCCAUAGCUAAACCCCUUGAUCAAGUCUGCUUCCCCAACCAAAUGACAUCGUCCCCUCCCCCCNNNNNNNNNNNNNNNNNNNNNNNNNNNNNNNNNNNNNNNNNNNNNNNNNNNNNNNNNNNNNNNNNNNNNNNNNNNNNNNNNNNNNNNNNNNNNNNNNNNNNNNNNNNNNNNNNNNNNNNNNNNNNNNNNNNNNNNNNNNNNNNNNNNNNNNNNNNNNNNNNNNNNNNNNNNNNNNNNNNNNNNNNNNNNNNNNNNNNNNNNNNNNNNNNNNNNNNNNNNNNNNNNNNNNNNNNNNNNNNNNNNNNNNNNNNNNNNNNNNNNNNNNNNNNNNNNNNNNNNNNNNNNNNNNNNNNNNNNNNNNNNNNNNNNNNNNNNNNNNNNNNNNNNNNNNNNNNNNNNNNNNNNNNNNNNNNNNNNNNNNNNNNNNNNNNNNNNNNNNNNNNNNNNNNNNNNNNNNNNNNNNNNNNNNNNNNNNNNNNNNNNNNNNNNNNNNNNNNNNNNNNNNNNNNNNNNNNNNNNNNNNNNNNNNNNNNNNNNNNNNNNNNNNNNNNNNNNNNNNNNNNNNNNNNNNNNNNNNNNNNNNNNNNNNNNNNNNNNNNNNNNNNNNNNNNNNNNNNNNNNNNNNNNNNNNNNNNNAAAUCUAAGCCCUUCAAACUGUUUCAUCCAACGGUUCAAAAUCCUUCAAAGAAAAUACAUAAAAGUGUUAUAAUCCUUAUACAAUUAUAGGGACAAAAUCCAUCCUCCUCGUACAAUCCAAGCCUAUAACACUACCAUGCCUCUCUUCCUCCUCUUUCUAUAUCCAUGUCCAGUUUCUCUCGAAUCCCAUCAAAUCGCCCCGAAUAUCAGAUCGAAACUUUUCCGACCAUGACAACACCUCGUCCAAAUGACACCAAAUUCACACCAAGUGUUC